CGCGGACUUAGCGUUGCCGCGUCCGAGUCCGGCCAUCAGUGGCUGCAGAUCCGGAGGCCAGGAGCUCAACCACCCUUCUUCGGAACAGGGCCGGCCUGCUGCUGUGCCCUCGACGCUCGGUGCCUGUAUCUACUCCGGGGCCUAGGUCGGCUCCGGGGGCGGCUUAGGAGAAGGCCGCCGGCGAGAUGUUCAAAAACACGUUCCAGAGCGGCUUCCUCUCCAUCCUCUACAGCAUCGGCAGCAAGCCUCUGCAAAUCUGGGACAAAAAGGUACGGAAUGGCCACAUCAAAAGAAUCACUGAUAAUGACAUCCAGUCCCUGGUGCUAGAGAUUGAAGGGACAAAUGUAAGCACCACAUAUAUCACAUGCCCUGCAGACCCCAAGAAGACGCUGGGAAUUAAACUUCCUUUCCUUGUCAUGAUUAUCAAAAACCUGAAGAAGUAUUUUACCUUCGAAGUGCAGGUAAGUAUGUGUACAUGAAUGUGUCCACUCUUGGCUAUACCAAAGUGAUAGCCUUUGAACUGAUGGGAAAAAGUGACCCUACAAAGUAUCUUUAUCCUUUUGCAUGUAUUCUUUUCUGCUUCUAGUAUAAGCCCAGUGCAGUCCUUGUUAUGUAAAUUUGAUAUUAGUAAUAAAAUUUAAUCAGGUUUUUAAAGAAACAGCACCUAGAAAACCUAGUAAUUUCAAAGUGUCAGAGUUAGCGUGGUAUCC
rnacentral:lncRNA from 1 species